UGACAAACAGAAAUCCAAAGGUAAAAGUAGCAAAACCCCACUGGAGUCCUUCCUAGGUGUAGCUGAGGAACAUAACAAAAAACAAGGGGCCACUAAUGGGGUAACUUUUAUUUGCAAGAAUUAAAUACUGAAUAAAAAAUAUAACUUGCUAAUCAUGUGAGUUGAUUAUUCAUCUUAUUUAAGGCUCUCAAGUUUCUCCAACAUCAAAUCAUUUUCCAUUUUAGGAUGUAUCAUCUCUUAUUUACAAUCCCAGUUCUAUUACUAAGGAGGAAUAUUUCAAUAGACAUGUUGAACUGGGUGACCGUGAUAUUGGGCGUCCUAUUGAGCAAUCGAAAAAGACUCAAAAGUUUAAGGCGACGUUGUGGUUGUGUGAAAAUUACCCGUUGUCACUUCAAGAACAGGUUGUUCCCAUUAUUGACUUAAUGGCAGCCAGUAAUGCACAUUUUCAAAAACUCCGAGACUUCAUUACUCUUCAACUGCCGGCUGGAUUUCCUGUGAAGAUAGGUUGGUUGAAGAUCUUUAAAUGAUGUUUGCAUUAGAUGGUCUGUCAAAAUUAUGUUCUGUGAUUUUAACACUGAUGGUAAUUCGUAGUCAGUGUUUCGGGACAAACAGAAUAAUAAAAAUCAUUAGUGAACAGUCAGUGUAUCAUACAUGAAUGUCAACCUUAAAGUGAGUGGGUAUAUUUUAAUGCUGUUUUUGAGAUUUAGGUUUAAUAUCAAAAUUACAGUUACAUUGAUCUGCUUCUUUUAGUAGUUUUCAAUGAAUUUUUAUAAUACAUGUAUUACUAUUUUGCUUAUCACACAUACAUAUACAGUACAUAUCCAGUUAAGACCAAAAAAAACAGUGUUUUGUUAUCUCAAAGCUUCAUGAAAUUUAACUGGUACUUUCACAGAGAUCCCACUUUUCCAUGUGCUAAAUGCCAGGAUAACUUUUGGAAACAUUAACGGCUGUGACGCCGCUGUAGAAGGUGUGACCACAAUAGAGGAUGCUGGGAAAAUUACUGCCAGUAUCGAUGAGACUAGCUUUGAUUCUCCACCAGGAUACAGAAAAUUAGGUAAAGUAAUCAUCAGUAUCUCAAUUCAUAGUUUAAGAGAGGCAAUAAAUUUCUUACAUGUUGCUUGAUUAUCAACACUAAGAGUAUUGAAUUGGUUUAUACCUGUGUAAUUUUCACUUAUUGAUGGAAGCAGCAAAAAGGGAUGCAAUGAAAAAAUAAAAUUCCACAAAGAGUAGAUAUUGUACAUGCUUUUUAAGGACAGUGCAGCUACAGAUUAACAAUUUAGUUUGACAUUUAAUGACAUUCAUUGGCCUGUUUACAGGUGAUAUUCACCAUGAGAGACUGCGAGAUGAAGAUGACCAGCUCCUGCAGUUUGCCAUUCAGCAGAGCCUGAUGGACGGGAAUACUGACCCUGUAGAACAGGUACCUGUGUAGUACAAGUACUGUACAAUUAAGUAAUUGCUUAUUGAGGUCAUUGUAUGAUUUAGUAACUAAGAAGUACAGAAUUCACUGAUCUUGAAGGGCAAGGGGGACAUUGUACAGUACUUUUAGAGUAACCUAAUCUUAGUAUUGAUUGAAUAAACAGCUGCAGUUGUUUUAUUAGUGAUUUUUUUUCUCCAAAUACUACAUGUGAUAUCAAAUUUAGAAUCAAUGAGCCAGGUAUACUUAUAUAUCUUUGGUUUGGUUAUAUCUGAGUCUCACUAACAUUCUUUUUGCCGUGUUCACCACUGUUGUAUAAUAAACAGGUACCAUUCAAGAAGAAUUAUCAAAAAGAAUUUAGCUUUGGCAUUUAUUAGCAAAGAAGAUAAAUAUACAUCUACCAUGCAUUCCUGUCACAAACAAAUUUUAAUCAUAAAAUCACUAGUACAUGUACAUGUGUAUUACCUUUUGCAAUAAUGACAUGUAUUAUUUUUUUUUCAAGAAUAAAUUAUGUUUUAAAGUUAAUGGAUAGCUUUUCACUUUUUUAGACUUGUUUAUUAAUAUUUUACAGCUGACAUUCUAUGAAGCAUUGAAUAACAUAAGACCUCCUCCACCAUCUCGACCUUUGCCGUCUGUAAGGCAGGACGAGGAUGCUCUUUUACAAAGGGCAAUUGCAGAGAGUUUAGCAUUACAAUCAGGAGACACAACUUAUCCAGAAAUUCUUCCUGAAACCAACAGCAGCAGUAACCUUGACGACGACCUUAGACUAGCCCUCCAACUGUCUCAGCAAACCUUGACAGAGGAUGAGAAGAGACGGAAAGAAGAAGAGGAGGAACUAGAAAGAAUUCUGAAGCUCUCAAUGCAAGAGAAGUGACCGGUUCCGUUUGCCAAGUUCUCCGCCCAUGGCUAGUCUAAUUUCAAUGGAAAGGAAAGAAAAUGCAGAUUAUAUGAUGUUUAUGUGCUUUACCAGGUGUAAUAUGGUAUCUGUUUAAAAACUGUCAAAUGUGAGGAUGGAUCUCGUCAUACAUGUACAAGCAAUGGAGUUGACCGAUCAGGCGCCCCUUUCCAUUAGGUUUUACAUUCCUCCAACUAUAACAAUGUUGUUAAUUGAUGCAGUUGUGACGCUGCCAGCUUCUGUGUUGGAAAUGAGUUAUUAAGCCUCUUUAUGAUUAAGACUUCUUGGCAUUGUGAAUAAUAAAACUCAGUUGUCUUGUUCAGGUAAACAUGUGCUAUGUGUAUGUGUUCAUUGUUCAAAAGUCUGCAAGUUUUUCAUACCUGUAUUUUGUUACAAAAUCCUGUGUACUCUACCUGUGUUGUUGCUUAAUUUAUUAAAAUUCAUAUUACCGGU
rnacentral:misc_RNA from 1 species